UCGUACGAGAAAGCCCGGGCAACUGGGUGAGUAAAGUGGCGCACGGGUGAGUAACACGUGGGUAACCUGCCCUCGAGUCGGGGAUAACUCCGCGAAAGCGGGGCUAAUACCGGAUAACGUGUCGAUGUCCUCGGACGUUGAAACCAAAGGUGGCCUCUGCAUGCAAGCUAUCACUUGAGGAUGGGCCCGCGUACCAUUAGCUAGUUGGUAGGGUAAUGGCCUACCAAGGCGACGAUGGUUAGCUGGUCUGAGAGGAUGACCAGCCACACUGGAACUGAGACACGGUCCAGACUCCUACGGGAGGCAGCAGUGGGGAAUCUUGCGCAAUGGGGGAAACCCUGACGCAGCAACGCCGCGUGGGUGAUGAAGGCCUUCGGGUCGUAAAGCCCUGUCAGGUGGGAAGAAACAUGUUGAUGUCAAUACCAUCAGCACUUGACGGUACCACCGGAGGAAGCACCGGCUAACUCCGUGCCAGCAGCCGCGGUAAUACGGAGGGUGCAAGCGUUGUUCGGAAUUAUUGGGCGUAAAGCGCGUGUAGGCGGUCAUGAAAGUCAGAUGUGAAAUCCUUCCGCUUAACGGGAGAAGUGCAUUUGAAACUCCAUGACUGGAGUACGGGAGAGGAGAGUGGAAUUCCCGGUGUAGAGGUGAAAUUCGUAGAUAUCGGGAGGAACACCAGUGGCGAAGGCGGCUCUCUGGCCUGAUACUGACGCUGAGACGCGAAAGCGUGGGGAGCAAACAGGAUUAGAUACCCUGGUAGUCCACGCCGUA
rnacentral:rRNA from 1 species